rnacentral:rRNA from 1 species
AUUGAACGCUGGCGGCAGGCCUAACACAUGCAAGUCGAGCGGAGAGGCGGACGGGUGAGUAAUACCUAGGAAUCUGCCUGGUAGAGGGGGAGAAAGAACGGAUACGGACGCUAAUAACGCAUACUAUCAAUUGAGCCUAGGUCGGAUUAGCUAGUUGGUGAGUGAAUGGCUCAACAAGGCUACGAUCCGUAACUGGUCUGAGAGGAUGAUCAUUCACACUGGAACUGAGACACGGUCCAGACUCCUACGGGAGGCAGCAGUGGGGAAUAUUGGACAAUGGUCGAAAGCCUGAUCCAGCCAUGCCGCGUGUGUGAAGAAGGUCUUCGGAUUGUAAAGCACUUUAAGUUGGGAGGCGUUACCGAAAGAAUAAGCACCGGCUAACUCUGUGCCAGCCGCCGCGGUAAUUC